rnacentral:rRNA from 1 species
CUUAGGAGCCAUAUCACCCUGCAACUCACAACUGGUAGCACACUGAAGCUAAGCAGAUGAGCCUGGUCAGUACCUGGAUGGGAAACCUACUGGGAAAAACUAAAGUUGCUGCUGGAA